rnacentral:pre_miRNA from 1 species
AUAAGCUCUAUCAUGUAUUUGAUAGUGUCAACUAGUACAGAAAACCUAUCUAUCUAGCUACACAAUCAAAAUAUGUUAGAUAGAUAAGUUUUAUGUAGUAGUUGACAUUAUCAAAUACAUGAAAGAACUUGA